UUUAUAUCUUUAAUGACAAAAUGAAUUUCAUUCACAAACUUUCUACAACAGACUGAAACAUCCAGAGUUCUGAUUUUAGAGAGAAACAACUUUAACUUCAUCUGCUCGGAUCAGUGUGUGUGUGUGUGUGUGUGUGUGUCCAGGCAGCCUACUGGAGAUCAGAACAAGGGCUGACGGCACACUGAAGAACUGAUUAAUGGCACAUUUUAAGCAACAAUAAAAACAGAUGCAAACAAAGACAAGAAUAAAAGUUUGAAAUGGAAGAACAGGAAAGAAGUGAAAUGUGAAAUUGACGUUCAAAGAAACAAAAACAUCCAAAACGUAUGACUUUUUCCCAAAAUAACUUGCAGUGUUUCAAGUUUUCAAACACAAUAAAUAAACCACGCCCACAUGGUCACUGCGUAGCUUACCAAUGAAAUUAAAUAGGACACCCCCCCCAAGAAUCGACCAUGACCCCGCCCCUAUUUAGGCCCCACCUCAAAUAGACCCCAAUUAUUAAAGCUAUUAGUAUUUGAUUUAGCACGUAAACGUGGCGGCGUGUCGUUUGGUCUCUCGUUAACGUCCCUCAUUGUUGUUUUGCUGCUUUUGGGUGAAACGUGAAUCUACAACACACUGUUUUUAUUUUAAUGCCAAUCGCUGCAUCUUGGCAAAAUCCAGUCACUGUUAUAUAAUAAUAUUAUAUAUAAUCUGAAGCAAAAAAUAAAAUACAGACACUAAUAUAAUAAGAAUGAAAUAAAAGGAGAAGCGCGUCUGGUCUGCAGAGCGGAACAUCACGUGCAAACGAGGCCCACGUGACCCACAAAACCACGUCAAAGUGCAAGAAGAGCAGCUGGAAAAAAGUGCGAGAGUCUCGUCCAGACGUUUAGAACGUGUCCUCGUCCACUUCUACGACGUUCCGUAAAAAAAUGAGUGCUUUCAAAUAUUUUUGGAGACUGAUAAUAAAAAGCUUAGAGAGGAAAGAGCAGAAGAACUUCAGAAGAACUUCGGAAGACCUGACGAAGCGAUGCACAAACACGCCCCUCGUUUUCUUCUAGAUUUCCUGCGUACCGAUUAUGCAAAUGAGUUACUAUAUACGAGUUCUGAUUGGAGCGGUGGUUUAGUGUGUGUAUGAACGCGGCGGUCGGUCGGUCGUAGUUAACGUGUGGAAAAUUAAAUCAUCUUCAUGACUUCACGAACGCGUACGUUCUGCAAGAGCUCCGGUCCUGCAGGUGCCGCUGUCUGAACCGUACGACGGUAACCAUGACUACAGGGGGAUGAAGGUGUAAAGUGCAUGGAGAUGAGAUGAUGGGAGGUUGUGGUUACGGAGGUGCUCUACACUGAACGGCAGCGUUAACGUGUAAUAAAUCCACGUGUUCGGAUCGCUGUUCUGUGGAUUAUGGCUUUGGCGCGUGAGGUUUAACCCGUGUUUCUCCGUGCAGAGGAGUUGCUUUGUAACGUAAAAACGAGUGUAGAAAAUUAAUUUGAGCAAAUCGACGCAAAAAAGCUCUUUGCAUAGAUAAAUCAGGUGAGCAGAGUCGUGCGGUAACGCAGCGGCGUGACGAUCGAUGUGACGCCGUGACGUGUUCCGGCUCCUGCGCUCGCUUUGGGAUUAGUGCACGUGAGGAAGAGCAGCGUAACAGCAGGAAGUGACAUCACAGCGGGUCAGUCGAGUGAAGAUCAGAGCUACUGAGGAGAGAAGAGACAGAGGAACAUCUCAAGAACAAUCUCAAAACAUGUUAUUGAAAUAAAGUUUCGAGUUGAAAUGCUCUGUGUUAUUUUAAGAUGAAUAUAUAAUGAUGAAUUCUGUUGUUCUCUGUUUUUCAGAUCUUUUCUGUUAUUAUGAAGUGAAUUAAACUAAAACAGCUGAUUGUGUAUUUAAAUGAU